rnacentral:rRNA from 1 species
UACGGGGGGAGCAAGCGUUAUCCGGAAUGAUUGGGCGUAAAGCGUCUGUAGGUGGUUUAGAAAGUCUACUGUCAAAGACCAGGCUUAACCCCGGGAAGGCAGUGGAGUACUUCUAGGCUAGAGUCCGGAAGAGGAGAGUGGAAUUCCUGGUGUAGCGGUGAAAUGCGCAGAUAUCAGGAAGAACACCAAUGGCGAAGGCGACUACCUGGCCUGUUCUUGACGCUGAGGCGCGAAAGCUAGGGGAGCAAACGGG